CCUACUGAUGCCCUAUGUGGAGAGCAUGACCUAAACAAAAACCGUGCAGACUUGUUUUCCUCACCACCACCUCAUCCAGAGCCUUCAAAAGUUCAGAAGUCCUGGAUACCAUCUGAAGUUAAUCAGUUUCACCAAGACCAUGCAAAAACCUGGACACCCCCAUCACAGCUACAAAGGACUCCUGCUGAAG